GGGGAAUAUUGGACAAUGGGCGAAAGCCUGAUCCAGCCAUGCCGCGUGUGUGAAGAAGGUCUUCGGAUUGUAAAGCACUUUAAGUUGGGAGGAAGGGUUUCUGGCUAAUAUCCAGGAAUUUUGACGUUACCGACAGAAUAAGCACCGGCUAACUUCGUGCCAGCAGCCGCGGUAAUACGAAGGGUGCAAGCGUUAAUCGGAUUUACUGGGCGUAAAGGGAGCGUAGGCGGAUACUUAAGUGGGAUGUGAAAUACCUGGGCUUAACUUGGGUGCUGCAUUCCAAACUGGGUGUCUAGAGUGUUGGAGAGGAAAGUGGAAUUCCUAGUGUAGCGGUGAAAUGCGUAGAGAUUAGGAAGAACACCAGUGGCGAAGGCGACUUUCUGGACAAUAACUGACGCUGAGGCUCGAAAGCGUGGGGAGCAAACA
rnacentral:rRNA from 1 species